AAUUUCUGACCGAACAUGCUUAGCCCUAUCAGGUUACUGGUGGAGUGCUGAGUCGUGUUGGUCAUCCUUCCAGAAAAUGUUAUUGCUCUUCACUGAGUUGAUAAUAUAAUCUGGAUCUUUUACUUUGAAAAAAUUAGAGUGUUCAAGGCAAGCUUUUGCUGUGAAUAUAUUAGCAUGGAAUAAUAAUAUAGGACUUCGGUUCUAUUUUGUUGGUUUCUAGAACUGAAGUAACUGAUUGAUAGGGACAGUUGGGGGUGCUGGUAUUCAUCGGCCAGAGGUGAAAUUCUUGGAUUCUGUGAAGACCAACUCAUGCGAAAGCAUU
rnacentral:rRNA from 1 species